GAAUAUUGGACAAUGGGCGGAAGCCUGAUCCAGCAACGCCGCGUGAGGGAUGACGGCCUUCGGGUUGUAAACCUCUUUCAGUACCGACGAAGUCCUUCGGGGUGACGGUAGGUACAGAAGAAGCACCGGCCAACUACGUGCCAGCAGCCGCGGUAAUACGUAGGGUGCGAGCGUUGUCCGGAAUUAUUGGGCGUAAAGGGCUCGUAGGCGGUUUGUCGCGUCGGGAGUGAAAACCAUGGGCUUAACUCAUGGCUUGCUUUCGAUACGGGCAGACUAGAGGUAUGUAGGGGAGAACGGAAUUCCUGGUGUAGCGGUGAAAUGCGCAGAUAUCAGGAGGAACACCGGUGGCGAAGGCGGUUCUCUGGGCAUUACCUGACGCUGAGGAGCGAAAGUGUGGGGAGCGAAC
rnacentral:rRNA from 1 species